rnacentral:rRNA from 1 species
GACGAACGCUGGCGGCGUGCCUAAUACAUGCAAGUAGAACGCUGAAGCUUGGUGCUUGCACCGAGCGGAUGAGUUGCGAACGGGUGAGUAACGCGUAGGUAACCUGCCUGGUAGCGGGGGAUAACUAUUGGAAACGAUAGCUAAUACCGCAUAAGAGUAGAUGUUGCAUGACAUUUGCUUAAAAGGUGCAAUUGCAUCACUACCAGAUGGACCUGCGUUGUAUUAGCUAGUUGGUGAGGUAACGGCUCACCAAGGCAACGAUACAUAGCCGACCUGAGAGGGUGAUCGGCCACCCUGGGACUGAGACACGGCCCAGACUCCUACGGGAGGCAGCAGUAGGGAAUCUUCGGCAAUGGACGGAAGGCUGACCGAGCAACGCCGCGUGAGUGAAGAAGGGUUUCGGAUCGUAAAGCUCUGUUGUGAGAGAAGAACGAGGGUGAGAGUGGAAAGUUCACACUGUGACGGUACCUGACCAGAAAGGGACGGCUAACUACGUG